CUGACUUUUAGAAAUCUUUAUACACAUCAUUUAGUGUCAUUUUCAAAUACCUUGAAGGGAUCAUAAAACUUUGCUCAUCUCUGAUCAUUGUAGCACUUAGAAGAGGAAAGGUAUGAACAGCCAUAACCCUGGCACAUUUUUAACUACACUCAGGACCAAAGGGGAUUAUAAGAUGGAAGCUUUGAUAACAAAAACAUAAAGAUGUCAUUGUCAACUAUCUCAAAAUAUACAUGCUUGUUGUAAAUGUCACAUAAGCCUACAGCUAAGGGAUGGAUCACAGUUUCCUGCAUUUUCAAAGUAUUUGUGUUGAUGAAUGCUUUAACUCCUUCAUGACCAAGUUAUUCUUUGUCCCACAACUUGCUUUCACAUUGUGAAAUUUCCGCUCUGCUCUGUACAGAGAAAAGCAAAUGCUUAGGAAGCAUUUAGGGGGUGAAAGGUGUGUAAUGUCAGUGAUCAACUUGCUAGCAAUAGGAUGAGAUCUUUCCUCUGCGUUGAAACAAUGGAAGUAGCAAUAUGUGUCAAACUAAACUGAGUACCAGAGAACUAAGGACUAACUUGUGCCCCAGUAUGGGUCAGCAAAGUAUUUACGCGUAUGAUUAAAACUAAAUGAUGGUGAACAUCUUGUUUCAGCUUGGCACACGCUACAGCACUUUGCUGAAUAAAAGGCACGUGGUACUGUUAAGAGCAUCUACACAGGGCUGAUUUUGAUCUGUUAGGCCCUGACAGGGUGACCACUCGUGUUUGCCACCAGAGUGGGAUUUGUUGCUGUCUUUGAUAACAGGGGCAGGCCCUUUCGGUGAGCUGAAGGUCUCAGAGGUGUAAAUGUGUGGGGAUUGCCAUCCCUGCUACAUGCAGUCUCUCCCCAUGUGACACUGAGGACAUGCUGCUUUUUGUUCCACAUGACUAGGAAUUCCUUGGCAGUAUGAUCUUGCCAUUGUGUGGAUGUCUUUCCCUCUUCCUGAGGCAGCGCUUGCCACCAUCAAGGUGCUUGGUGAUAUGCAGGUACCAGCCUUGCUGAGGGUACUGCUUGAGUCCGUGUUUAAUUUCAGCCUAAGAAGGAGUGACCCGGAGUUCACAUUGCUAUUGAAAUGUCUACAAUCAAGGCUGUUGUCAUUGAUGUUUCUGCACUGAGAAACAGUUUAAAUGUGAGAACAGCGUUCAUGACUCACCACAAACCAGAUCCAUAUGGGCAUUUAAGUGCUUAAAUCCUACUGGGUGAGGGGACUGGCUUGCUGUGAUUACCAGAGCUUGCACUCAUUCUUCCCUUCACUUCAAAACCCAGAUUUCCAGAAAUACACAUGAAUCAAGUGCAUCAUCUUUGUCUCUGACUAGAUGGUCUGAUAACAUUGCAGCAAAGUACAGAGACACUUUUUUCUUGCAUAUACAAAUGCAGAUGUGUGCACAUUGGCAUGGG
rnacentral:lncRNA from 1 species